AACUAACGCUGGCGGCGUGCCUAACACAUGCAAGUCGUACGAGAAAGUCCGCUUCGGUGGGCGAGUAAAGUGGCGCACGGGUGAGUAACGCGUGGAUAAUCUACCCCUCAGUUAGGAAUAACGUACCGAAAGGUGCGCUAAUACCGAAUGAUACUGCAUAACUACUGUUGUGUAGUCAAAGAUGGCCUCUGCUUGCAAGCUUUCGCUGAAGGAUGAGUCCGCGUACCAUUAGCUAGUUGGUAGGGUAAUGGCCUACCAAGGCAACGAUGGUUAGCUGGUCUGAGAGGAUGAUCAGCCACACUGGAACUGAGACACGGUCCAGACUCCUACGGGUGGCAG
rnacentral:rRNA from 1 species